rnacentral:rRNA from 14 species
GUUAAGUGACUAAGCGUAUACGGUGGAUGCCUAGGCAGUUAGAGGCGAUGAAGGACGUGUAAGUCUGCGAAAAGCUGUGGUGAGCUGACAAAAAGCAUUUGAGCCACAGAUGUCCGAAUGGGGAAACCCACCCAAUGUAAGUUGGGUAUCCUUAACUGAAUACAUAGGUUAAGGAGGCGAACUCAGGGAACUGAAACAUCUAAGUACCUGAAGGAAAAGAAAUC